GACGAACGCUGGCGGCGUGCUCAACACAUGCAAGUCGAACGGUGAAAGCGGAGCUUGCUCCGCUGGAUCAGUGGCGAACGGGUGAGUAACACGUGGGCAACCUGCCCCUCACUUCGGGAUAACUCCGGGAAACCGGGGCUAAUACCGGAUAUGACCUCCUUGGGCAUCCUUGGAGGUGGAAAGUUUUUCGGUGAGGGAUGGGCCCGCGGCCUAUCAGCUUGUUGGUGAGGUAGUGGCUCACCAAGGCGACGACGGGUAGCCGGCCUGAGAGGGCGACCGGCCACACUGGGACUGGGACACGGCCCAGACUCCUACGGGAGGCAGCAGUGGGGAAUAUUGCGCAAUGGGCGAAAGCCUGACGCAGCAACGCCGCGUGCGGGAUGACGGCCUUCGGGUUGUAAACCGCUUUCAGCAGGGAAGAAGCCGCAAGGUGACGGUACCUGCAGAAGAAGCACCGGCUAACUACAUGCCAGCCGCCGCCGUAA
rnacentral:rRNA from 1 species